rnacentral:rRNA from 1 species
UACAGAGGGCGCGAGCGUUGUCCGGAAUCACUGGGCGUAAAGGGCGCGUAGGUGGCUUCGUAAGUCCGUUGUGAAAGUCAAAGGCUCAACCUUUGAAAGCCGAUGGAUACUGUGAAGCUAGAGUACGGAAGAGGCGAGUGGAAUUCCUGGUGUAGCGGUGGAAUGCGCAGAUAUCAGGAGGAACACCAAUAGCGAAGGCAGCUCGCUGGGACGUUACUGACACUGAGGCGCGAAAGCGUGGGGAGCGAACAGG